rnacentral:rRNA from 1 species
GACGGGGGAUGCAAGCGUUAUCCGGAAUCACUGGGCGUAAAGCGACUGUAGGUGGUGAUGCCAGUCACUGGUGCAAAACUCUGGCUCAACCGGAGGAAAGCCAGUGAAACUGCAUGACUAGAGUGUGGGAGGGGUAGAAGGAAUUCCCUGAGUAGCGGUGAAUUGCGUAGAUACAGGGAAGAACACCGGAGGCGAAAGCGUUCUACUGGAACACAACUGACACUGAGAGACGAAAGCUAGGGGAGCGAAUGGG